GUCCAGACUCCUACGGGAGGCAGCAGUGGGGAAUAUUGCACAAUGGGGGAAACCCUGAUGCAGCAACGCCGCGUGAGUGAAGAAGUAUUUCGGUAUGUAAAGCUCUAUCAGCAGGGAAGAAAAUGACGGUACCUGACUAAGAAGCCCCGGCUAACUACGUGCCAGCAGCCGCGGUAAUACGUAGGGGGCAAGCGUUAUCCGGAUUUACUGGGUGUAAAGGGAGCGUAGACGGCAUGGCAAGUCAGAUGUGAAAGCCCGGGGCUCAACCCCGGGACUGCAUUUGAAACUGUCAGGCUGGAGUGCAGGAGAGGUAAGUGGAAUUCCUAGUGUAGCGGUGAAAUGCGUAGAUAUUAGGAGGAACACCAGUGGCGAAGGCGGCUUACUGGACUGUAACUGACGUUGAGGCUCGAAAGCGUGGGGAGCAAACAGGAUUAGAUACCCGAGUA
rnacentral:rRNA from 1 species